UACGUAGGGUGCGAGCGUUGUCCGGAAUUAUUGGGCGUAAAGAGCUCGUAGGCGGUGUGUCGCGUCGGCCGUGAAAACCUGCAGCUUAACUGUGGGCGUGCGGUCGAUACGGGCAUCACUGGAGUUCGGCAGGGGAGACUGGAAUUCCUGGUGUAGCGGUGAAAUACGCAGAUAUCAGGAGGAACACCGGUGGCGAAGGCGGGUCUCUGGGCCGAUACUGACGUGAGGAGCGAAAGCGUGGGGGAGCGAAACAGG
rnacentral:rRNA from 1 species